rnacentral:lncRNA from 1 species
CAAGCCAAAGUGAAUAAAAAGCAUGACUUAAUCGAAUGCAUUCUGGAUGAGCAGACCGCAUCCACCAGGAGAUGAGACUAUCGCUGCUACUUGAUUCGAUGGUGAGGAAGGCCCGAGUCAGAAGAUUCAUAGAUUACUCAGGAGGAGCUGCAGAGGAUCUAUCCAGAGCUACUUGAGCACCACCAGGGCCGAGUAGAUCCAGACUUGAUAGGGUCAAGUUCUUCCUCAUCAAAAAAAUUGGUGAGGACACCGCCUUCAUCAGAACAAAUCAUAGCCAUCACC